rnacentral:rRNA from 1 species
GACGUAGGGGGCGAGCGUUGUCCGGAUUUAUUGGGCGUAAAGGGUUCCUAGGCGGCUGAGAAAGUCAGGUGUGAAACCUCCAGGCUCAACCUGGAGACGCCACUUGAUACUGCUCUAGCUAGAGUCCGGUAGGGGCGUACGGAAUUCCCGGUGUAGCGGUGAAAUGCUUAGAUAUCGGGAGGAACACCAGUGGCGAAGGCGGUACGCUGGGCCGGAACUGACGCUGAAGAACGAAAGCGUGGGUAGCAAACAGG